GCAAAAGUAACUCAAUAGGUAGAGUGUGAUCUUGCCAAGAUCAAAGUUGAGAGUUCAAAUCUCUUCUUCUGCU
rnacentral:tRNA from 1 species